AAUUUUUUUGCACCACCCCCACCCCAAUUCCUAUGUUGAAAUCCUAACCCUUUGUACUUCGUGGUGUAAGCUUAUUUGGGUAAUAGGGUCAUUGCCAGUGUAAUUAGUUAAGAUCAGAUCAUACUGGACUAGGGUGGGCCCCAUAUUGGUGUCCUUAUAAAAAGGGGAAAUUUGGAUACACACAAUACACAGGGAGAACACCAUGUAAGGAUGAAAGCAGAGAUCAGGGUGAUGCUUCUAUAAGCCAAGGGACGCCAAAGAUGGCCGGAAAACCUCCAGAAGCUAAGAGAGAGGCACGGAACUCGGUCUCACAGCCCUGGGAAGGAACCAACCCUGCCAACACCUUGAUCUUGGACUUCUGGCCUCCAAAAAUCAGGAGCAACAAUAUAAACUCAGGUCAGAUGCUGUAGUGACAGGAAGCAGAGAAGCCUGACACGAUGCUACGGUACUGUUCUUCUUCUGAAUCUCCCUCACAAAGAUCCUGCAUUUGCGUUCAGAAUAAUGUGGCAUAUAUCAUUCGGAACGAAAUCGCAAUGAAUGGAAACACCCAGCCUACUACUUUCUUUCCCCCACUUUGUCUGGUCCAGAAUAAGGCCCUGGAGGUGCUGUGAUGUCCUGCUCUGUGGUCAAAGAGUAAUGGUUUCACCUCCUUCUUGGAUUCCUCUACAGAGAGCCUUCCUGCUUUUCGCAUGGACAUGUUCUCCACCCUGUGCCAAGAAGAGAGAAUGUGAGUCACUGCUGUUUGCUCUGCCGGAGGUUUAGAGAGCUUGGACAGGUACCACAUUAUGGUGAUCUUGACAAUUUAAAGUGCAUAGUGAGAGGACUUCCAGUCAAGAUGGAGUGUGUGCAGACAUGGCUUGCCUCUUCGCACAAUCACAUCAGAAUUACAACUAAAAUAUAGAACCACCAUCACUCAUAACCAUCAGAAAUCGAGUUGAAUGGAAGUCUGACAACGACGGAAUUAUAGAAACCACAUCCAUCCAGACUGAUAGGAGUGGAAAUGUGGAACAGGCUGGUCCCUCACUCAUGUGUGGUAGAUAAAAAUUCAUGAGGGAUAUCUCAGGAGUGAGGAGUCCCAGCCCCACACCAGGACCCACAGCCCAGGGUUUUAGUGCCAGGAAGAUAAGUCUCAAAUUCUGGCUGCAGAAACCAGCGGAGAUUUUUGGUGGAAAAAACUACUGGAGUCCUAAACAGCUUCCCUUAAAGAACCCACACAUGGACUCACCUACUCAGACUCACUCCCUCUGGGCUCUGGCCUUGGGGUGGUGGCUUGAGGGGCACCGGAGUACAGCGGGAGGCUGAGGUGUCUGGCAUCAAGGCAAGCGGGGCCAUUGUCCCUUUUCUGGGCCCUUCCCCCGCAGAGAUGGCAGAUUGGUGCCAUUUCUGAGACUCCAUCAACCUGGUUAACACUGCUUGACCUACGUUGGAGAUCCGCAGAGAUUCCACCCCACACAAUUUAUGGCUCACUCAGGUUGCUUUUCCAUAUGAAUGGCUGAUCUUGGCGCCAGCUGCACAACUCUCUAAGUCCUCUCAAAUAAGCAACAGCUGGCCUCAGUGAAUCCCAGGCCCAGCUCUAGCAGCAAACAGCCUAGAUUCACAGCGUGAUUUCACCUGGGAAUCUCCAAACCCAGCACAAGUAGUAGCCAUCUCAGAUUGUUUUAUAGCUUAGGCGGGGUGGCCCCAGGCAAAACAAAAGUGGGAACUGGCCUUGGCCUGCACCACCCAGGAAACCCCAGGGCCAGCGCACCCAGUGGACAGCUACAGACCACACUGAAGCACUACCACCCUGCCCCUACACAGCUGAUCCUCCAUGGAGGUUGGUGGUCAGUGGUCACAGCCAAUCUUUGCAGCUGAUUGGCCUGGGUAAAUCCCUCCCAUUGAUCUGCCAACAACAACCGAGGCUUAACUACAAGAGGAGGGCGUACUCAGCCCACAUGAAGGGUGCAUCUUGAGCACCCAGCUUGGGUGAUAGGGGAGACUGUGCCACUGGACCCUAAAAGAAAAAAGUGGAGGAUAUUUUUAACCCAAUAAGAUAAUUAUAUUCUGGAAUUGUAUCCCAUCAGAAUCAUUGCUACAUAAAAAUGGGAAAGACAAGGAUUUUUCAGAAUCAAAUUCCUUCAAGUUAUUAAUGAUCUCCCAAAUAUUGUAUUGAAUUCUUUACUUACCAUUUAGGUGCAAAAUUAUGAUAUAAUAGUGAUGCAUUUAAAUGCAUAAUUAUGGAAGUAACUGUGUUUCUGAAAUGAUUCAUGCAAAUACUGUCUGCAUAAAUAAAUUAUAUUUUAAGGACACUGGCAGGGGGAGGAAUGUAGGGCUCAUUAUGUGAAGAAACCCUUUCCCUAAGUCUUUUAGUAGAGCAAAGUGCCAGCUCUUAAUUUUUCUGACUUCAAAUUUCUGUACUGGAGCUAUCUAACAUGAAGGGACAGUUUACUUAUGUAAAUUAAACCUGUACCUACCUAAAUGUGUGUAUAUACAUUAUCUAUCU